UACGUAGGGUGCAAGCGUUGUCCGGAAUUAUUGGGCGUAAAGGGCUCGUAGGCGGUUUGUCGCGUCGGGAGUGAAAACACCGGGCUUAACUCGGUGCUUGCUUUCGAUACGGGCAGACUAGAGGUAUGCAGGGGAGAACGGAAUUCCUGGUGUAGCGGUGAAAUGCGCAGAUAUCGGGAAGAACACCCGUGGCGAAGGCGGUUCUCUGGGACGGUACUGACGCUGAGACGCGAAAGCGUGGGGAGCAAACAGG
rnacentral:rRNA from 1 species